AGGAUUACGGUGGAUACCUAGGCACCCAGAGAUGAGGAAGGGCGUGGUAAGCAAUGAAAUGCUUCAGGGGGUUGAAAAUGAGCAUAGAUCCGGAGAUUCUUGAAUAGGUUAACCUUUUUAACUGCUUCUUAAUCCAUGGGCAGGCAAGAGACAACCUGGCGAACUGAAAAAUCUUAGUAGCCAGAGGAAUAGAAAGAAAAAGUGAUUCAUGUAGUAGUGGCGAGUGAAAUGGGAGCAUCCUAAACCGUGAAAAUAGGGUUGUGGGAGAGCACAAUAUAAGCUCUGUGCUGCUAGGCGAAGCGGUUGAGUCCUGCACCCUAGAUGGUGAGAGUCCAGUAUGAAAAAGCAUCAUUGGGUUACACUCUAACCCGAGUAGCAUAAAACACUUGGAAUCCCAUGUGAAUGAGAAAGGACCACCUUGCAAGGCUAAAUACUCCUGGGUGAUCGAUAGAAAAGUAGUACCGUGAGGGAAAGGUGAAAAGAACCCCCAUCGGGGAGUGAAAUAGAACAUGAAACCAUAAGCUCCCAAGAAAUGGGAGGAAAAUGAUAUCUCUGACCACAUGCCUAUUGAAGAAUGAGCCGACAACUUAUAGGUAGUGGCUUGGUUAAGGGAACCCAUUGGAGUCGUAGCGAGAGAGAGUCUUCAUGGGGCAAUUUUCACUUCUUAUGGACCCAAACUUGGGUGAUCUAUCCAUGACCAGGAUGAAGAUUAGGUGAAACUAAGUGGAGGUCUGAACUGACUGAUGUUGAAAAAAUAGUGGAUGAGUCAUGGUUAGAGGUGAAAUGCCACUCGAAACUAGAGCUAGCUAGUUCUCCCUGAAAUUCAUUAAGGUGCAACAUUUGGCUGGACCAUCUAGGGAUAAAGCACUAUUUUGGUACGGGCUGCGAGAGCGGUACCAAAUCGAGGCAAACUCUGAAUACUAGAUUGCCCCAAUAAAAGGGGUAAAGGUCAAACAGUGAGACGAUGGGGGAUAAGCUUCAUCUUCGAGAGGGAAACAACCCAGAUCAUUAUCUAAUGCCCCUAAAUGACCGCUCAGUGAUGAAGGAAGUAUGAGUGCAAAGACAACAAGGCGGUUUUCCUAGAAGCAUCCAACCUUGAAAGAGUGCAUAAUAGCUCACUGAUUGAGUGCUCUUACACUGAAGAUGAAUGGGACUAAGCCAUCUGCCAAAGCUGUGGGAUGUAAAAAUGCAUCGGUAGGGGAGCGUUCUACAUCAGAGGGAAGCACCGGUGUGAGCAGGUGUGGAUAAAGCGGAAGCAAGAAUGUCGACUUGAGUAAUGCAAACAUUGGUGAGAAUCCAAUGCCUCGAAAACCUAAGGGUUCCUCCAAUAGGUUCAUCCACGGAGGGUGAGUCAGGGCCUAAUAUCAGGCUGAAAGGCAUAGUCGAUGGACAACAGGUUAAUAUUCUUGUACUACCCCUUGUUUGUCCUAAGGGAUGGAGGAGGCUAGGUUAGCCGAAAUAUGGUUAUCGGUUCAAGGAUGCAAGGUGACCCUCUAUAAAUUGAUUCAAAGGUAAAAGAAGAAUCAAAUAUAGGUGUGUACAAGGUGAGGUUGGGGGUGGAUAUUCCUCAUCAUCUACUUUAGCACACAAAAAUCCAAGAUGGCUUAUCCAAACAUUAUAGGAUGCACAAAAUCAUGUAGGAGCACCCAUAUCAUCAAUGAGGGUGAGUAUACCUCCUAGUAGAUAUGUUAACCAUAUUGUAUUAGAUUCUUCCAUUUGUGAUCUUUACAAUUGUUUUGAGGAGGUGAUGUGUGAUACUUUGUUGGAUGAGUGUGAUGUUUGGGGUGUAGUUCCUUUCUUGGAGCUAGUGGUUGAUUUCGAUAUUGCAACGUGUUCAAAUUUGCAGAAGGAAAGUUUGUUUGAGUUGCGAAGGGAGAAAAAUGAUGUUGGUGAAAACACUUUCCUCAUAAAGAGGGUGUGUUUUCUUUCAAGGUUACUCUGAAAUUGUUUGAUUGAGUUGCAAAGGAAGCAUAAAGAUGUUGGUGAAAACACUUUCCUCAUAAAGAGGGAGUGUUUUCUUUCGAGGUUACUCCAAAAUUAAGUUACACCAUACUUAAG
rnacentral:ncRNA from 1 species